rnacentral:lncRNA from 1 species
CAGACUCUUCCACCUCACUGGGAAACUGUUCCAGUGCUCUGGAACACCCUCAGUAUAAAGUUCUUCCUCAUGUUGAGGUGGAACUUGUUGUGUUUUAGUUUGUGGCCACUGCUUCUCACCCAGUUGCUGGGCACCACUGAAAAGAGUCUGGCACCAUCCUCUUGGCACCCGCCUUUGGGUUAUUUAUAUGCAUUAAUGAGAUCCCCUCUCCAUCUCUUCUCCUCGGGACUAAACUGGUCCAGCUCCCGCAGUCUCUCCUUGUAAGAGAGUGCUCCAGAUCCCUCAUCAUCUCUGUGCCCUCUGCUGGACCCUCUCCAGCAGCUCCUGGUGUUUUCUGUACCGAGGAGCCCAGACCUGGACCCAGCGCUCCAGAUGUGCCUCACUAGGGCCGAGUAGAGAGGGAGGAGGAUUUAAAGGAGGAGAAGCCAAUGAGCGGCGCCUUUCCUGCCUGGAGUCCCAGACGUGAAGCUGGCUGUGCUCUCCUGGGGACAAGGGGACAACCUGUAAGAAGCAGACGUGGUUCUGAUUUCCUCGGAAGAAGCACAAAAGGAGAUGUCCUGUUCUUUGAAAAUAACUGGAGCCACCGGCAAGAAGCAGCGACGCCGCACCGAACAAGGGAACCACUUCCAGGUUAUCCAAGCAUGCUGCUGAACUGACUUUUGCAGCUGCAUUUUCCAAUGUACCAUGGGAUGCAUCAAAUCCAAGGCUGCCUUCCA